UACGUAGGGGGCUAGCGUUGUCCGGAUUUAUUGGGCGUAAAGGGCGCGUAGGCGGCCAGCACAAGUCAGUUGUGAAAUCUCCGAGCUUAACUCGGAAAGGUCAACUGAUACUGUGCGGCUAGAGUGCAGAAGGGGCAACUGGAAUUCUCGGUGUAGCGGUGAAAUGCGUAGAUAUCGAGAGGAACACCUGCGGCGAAGGCGGGUUGCUGGGCUGACACUGACGCUGAGGCGCGAAAGCUAGGGGAGCGAACGGG
rnacentral:rRNA from 1 species